CCCCGUCUCUUACCUUGUUGUGUGAAAGCUAGCAUCUGAACCCUAACUGUAGCUAUUCAGCUAUUUGCAUCCAGAUCUUAUCUAAUUGUGAAAUGUAGCUUUUGCAUAUGUGUUUCAGUGAGAAUGCCACUUUAUCAUACUACCAAAAAUCAUUGAUUGCUUCUGGAUCUACCAAUAGUGUUUACCGGGUGAGGCAUGUCCAUCUAAGUCAUUCGUAAGAAAUGGUUCUGUAGUUUGCUCCAUGAGAAGCUACUGCGUGUAGUGAUAUAUGUCUCCUAGCUAUUAGCUACAGUUAACUGCAGUUGCAUGCAUUCUUGCUUUAGUGCUUGAUACUCUGUAUAGAUCUUGAGGUGUCUCUUGGGGCAAAUAACUGUGAAAACAUUUGCAUUUAUUUCUCUCAGGUUGAGCAUUUGGAGCAAGAAAAAUGUGACUAAAUAGGCUUUGGUAGAAAAGCAUGAGAAGGGCCAAGCAAUGUUUCGGGUACAGUUUGUGUCUGUGCAUUUUUCAAUAUGUGUUUUGAAGAUCAGGAUGUUGAGAAAUAACUAAAAAUUGCAUAGGAAGCUCACGUCUUGGCUGAGGAGGAUACUACUACCGAAAAAAAGACAAACUGUGAAUGUCCUGUUGGUUCAUAGACAAUUCAAUCUGUAUUGAUUUUUGAAGAUCAAGUUUAUUGUUUUAUUAUGCAUAGGCUAUUUAUAUCUAAACUAGGUCUCUAACAUAGUGUAGUGAUAGCAAAAGAUAUAUUUUGUAGUGCUUAUAACAUACAAAUAUAGAUUUAUAAAAGCAACAGCUGUGAAUAAUCUUAUUGUUUUCCAGUGGUAAUCAGGUACGUGUAGAUUCCUAUCAAGGACCUAUGACAUAUCUAAAAUAAAAGGAGUAGACCAGGCUUGAGGCAUAUAUGACAUGAGCCAGUUCCUUCCUCUCUAAGCCCUUUCUUUUCCCAGUUUCACAUUUUUUUGAUUGGUCAUAACAUCAGAGAGAUUGAUUCUACUAUUUUACAUUAGCUGUAUUUUGUGAUUUUUCUGGCUCCCGUCGCAACGCAAGUGUUCUACCGAUAAGUGCAGUGCUACAGUGGCAGAGCAGUUCAGUUAAGUGUAUAGUUUUUUAUGCUGACAGCGACAGCUAUUUGCAGUCUUCUCCCUUGCUAAUUUCAUGGAUAAAUUCUAAUGCACUACCAAAAUUAUGGUGCCUCAUUUUCUGUUUUGAAGUCCUAUCAUGCUACCGACUGCCCUAUAAAUUUCUAUGCAUCUCUUUCAUUGCUGUCAUGCUCAUGUUGCUCACAUCUUAUAGUGGUUGCAAGCACCUUUACUCUAGGAAUAUAGUAGUGAUCGAUAGAUAACAGUAGUUUUUUAUUCACUCAUAUUAUUAGAAUAACUUAACUACUAUCUGUGUCUAAUAAUAUAAUAAUAUUUCCAUGUUUUAUUCCAUUAUUGUGAAUAAUGCCAACAGCCGAGCACUAUCAGGCAUGUCUUUUGGUUCUAUUAUUCAUACAUAUGCUUGCAUAUGAAAGUACCAUUUACUAAAUUUUCUAGUAGUGAUUGAAUAGUAUUCAGUUGGGAGCCUUGGGUAAAUACAGUUGAUCCUAAUGUAGCAGAAAUGAAACUUAGGGGGAUGCACCUAAUUUAAUCGGGAUAUGAGGGACCUGGAGCCAACCCUUGAGGCAGAUCGAUCGGCAGGAAAGCGCUUCCUGAACCAGAGCACACUGCAGGUGGAGAGCAGCUUGAUGUUGAGCGCAUGCAGGAGCAGCACGCUGCAGACACUUUUGACCAUCUGGAUGGAGGAAGCUAGAGUUUUGGUGGACUCAAGUGAAGGAAUGUCAAGGCAACCUUCGAUGGAGUGGUAGACAUAUAUAGCUCAUUACAUUUCAUGUGUACAAACAAGUAUGUCAGAUACCUUGUGUAUUUGAGCAAUGUGUGUCUAAGCUGGGUUUAACAUUGGAUGGUUCCAUGAAUGAUUUGUACAAACAAAGCUUGUUUUGGUUUAAUGGAUGUAAUGGUGCACAACUGUUGUUUGAAGCUACCAACUAAAGUGUUGCAACAUGGAUUAUCCGCAUUC